rnacentral:tRNA from 1 species
CGGACAUUUGCGCAGGUUGCAGCAUCCGUCGAUUUGGGCUCGAAGCCGCCGUUCGCUGUGCGAGCCAUUGAUGGCGGU